GCCCCUGCCGUUUGUACACACCGCCCGUCGCUACUACCGAUUGAAUGAUUUAGUGAGGUCUUCGGACCGGCGGGCGCGGGGGCUUGCUCCCACGUUCCACCGGGAAGAUGCCCAAACUUGAUUAUUUAGAGGAAGUAAAAGUCGUAACAAGGUUUCCGUAGGUGAACCUGCGGAAGGAUCAUUAACGU
rnacentral:rRNA from 1 species